rnacentral:rRNA from 1 species
UACGGAGGGGGCUAGCGUUGUUCGGAAUUACUGGCGUAAGACGCACGUAGGCGGCUUUGUAAGUUAGAGGUGAAAGCCCGAGGCUCAACCUCGGAAUUGCGCCUGAAACUACAUGGCUAGAGUACUGGAGAGGGUAGCGGAAUUCAUGGUGUAGCAGUGAAAUGCGUAGAUAUCAUGAGGAACACCAGAGGCGAAGGCGGCUACCUGGACAGUUACUGACGCUCAGGCACGAAAGCGUGGGGAGCAAAAGGG